UUUCAGAUCAUUUGCAACCCUAUUACUGGAUGCAAUGAAGUUGAAUGGAGUCCGAUUUGACACAUUUUGCAUCAUUUUAGCACAAUUGCAUCAUUUUGACCCUCAUCGUAUUGCUGCAUUCAUAAACUCAACAAGAGAAAUAUUUUUAACUUAAAAUAUAAAUUGCAUGGAAAAGGGAUAUGGCCGAUGUCUUCAGGCAGCAGGUUAAAGCUCUAGUUACACUUCAUUUAUUUCUACAGCACAUAGCUGGGUUCAGAUUAACAUAGGAACACCCGGUGACUUUGUUUCAGAUUCAUUUAAUUGAAUGAAUUUAAUUAAAUUUUAAACUGCAGUUUUUUACAUAUUGAAGUGGACUUGUGGUCAACGUAUGCUGUUCACAGGCCUUUGUUGUCUUUUCUGACAUUUGUCUUGUUAUUUUUGAUGACCACGACCUAUGAACUCCAUUAGAGGACAACGAUUUGGACUCAAAUUCUGCAGCAACAUCCCAAUGCUGGAUACCAAAUGAUGGUUGGGCAUUUGAAUGCACAACACACACAUAUACAAGAAACACCUUCACGUUAUCAAGGAUGGCAGGACCUGCUGCAACUACGCACCGAGGGAAACCAGUCCCACUGAGAACCAGGAAAACCAGUCCCACUACGCAUGAGGGAAACCAGUCCCAAUACGCAUGAGGGAAACCAGUUCCACUUUGCAUGAGGGAAACCAGUCCCACUAUGCAUGAAAGAAGCCAGUCCCACUAUGCAUGAGGGAAACCAGUCCCACUAUGCAUGAGGGAAACCAGUCCCCGCUGCAACGGAGUCUCCAUGAAGACGAGCACAGCAGGACCCAGUACAGGUCCACAUGGUGUUUGGAGUGGACUGGACUGGACCGUGUGGUCAUCGUCAGCCUGGUGUUCUGGUCCCUGAAGUUCAGCCGCAGCGCUGAUGGCCCCUGGUCCAGUGUGUUGGAUGUCUUCGUACAAACUGUAUGCUUAAUAUCAGAAAUGCUCCAGUAAAUCUCAGUGUCACCAGCUGCAUGAUGCAAGUUAAAUAAUGUUUUCACCAUAGAUCUGAAAUCAAUGUUGAAUUGCAUUCUUAUUUCCCAAACUUCUCUCGAAUAAAUUAAAAGA